AUGAGAAUGCCGAACCCUAGGGAAGUUGACAGAGCUCUGUUGGUUGAAAACAUUAAACUGAAACAGUGUGGUGUUAGUGUCAAGUUCUCCCCCUGGUCUGAGGAUAUUGACUCUGAGGGUCUGCUGGAGAUUGCCUGGGUUAGAAUUGGGAAAAUUCCACCUAAUAAGAGGUGUGAGAAAACUGUAGCUUAUGUGGGAGGCCUAGUUGGGAUUACUCUGGAAGUCGAUAUGUCAACUAUCAAUCGCCCCUCAUCUGUCAGGGCUAAGAUUGGCUGUCGCUCAAUUGCCCAACUCCCUGCCACUGCUGAGGGAGUGCUUGCAGGACGCUUUUAUAGAUUUACUUAUGAGGUUGAGGAGGUUUUGGUCAGAAAUCCUGUUGAGGAAGAAACUAUGGACCCCAUUCCUGAUGAAAGAACCAAACCUGACCAAACCCCUAAGAGGAAGCGUACUGAACAAGAGAAAGGAGAAACUCACAGUGAAUCUGCUGGGCGCAGUGCUCCUGGGGGAUCUUACCGCGGUGGCAAGGCCUGUCGCCUGCUAUGCGAUGAAAAAGAGGGAUCUAUCUCCUCUGAGAGUGAUACAGACAAUUCCUUGCUUAUCGAAACCAUGCAGAGAGAGAUUGAUGAAAAACUGCAUGAGAAGUGUGGGGGCUCAUCGAACUGGACUGUUCCCAUGAACCCUGAUGUUGCUGAAUCCUCUAUCCAAAAUAUUCAGGUGACAAGUGCUUCUCAUAAAAAAAUUCUAUGCCUCGUCGAACUGUUUCUAACCUGUCUCAGAUUGUGGAGGUGA
rnacentral:rRNA from 1 species